UCAGAUCACUACCAGGACUCAGAACCCCCUUGGCUGUCCACUUGAGCCUGCUUAUCACAUUGUGUUUCUCUUUUGUUUUGGGGGACAUGGAAAUACAUUGUGUUUGAGCACGGAGCACAGGGGUCCCUUAAUCUUGAAUGAAAAUUGCAUCUUUGUUUUCUUAAUAAUAAUAAAAGAAACCAGAAGACUGUCAGCAGAGCUUUCUGUGAUGAAGAAAAUGCUCUCUUCCUGUGCUGUCCAGCAGCAGCCAUUCUGCACAAAGAGCUAUGGAGCACUGGAAAUGGGGCCAAGGUUUUGUGUGUGAAGCUGUGUGAAAGUCUGAAAUGCUAUCAAGCACAUCUUUACAGCACAGUGGCGCCACCUGAUGAAGUAACAGUUAGUUAUAGACAUGGCCUUCCCUUGAUAACACUCACUCUACCAUCCAGAAAUGAACGCUGUCAAUUUGUAGUCAAACCAAUGUUAUCAACAGUUGGUUCGUUUCUUCAGGACGUACAAAAUGAAGAUAAAGGUGUCAAAAAUGCAGCCAUCUUCACAGCAGAUGGCAGUGAGAUUGCAACUUCAACCUUGAUGGGAUUUUUGCUAAUGAAUGAUUUUAAACUUGUCAUUAAUAAAAUAACAUACGAUGUACAAUGCCCCAAGCAAG